GCAGAUCAAGAGUUCAUGGCAGAAAAAUCUCAUAAAACUUCAAGAUUUCAAGGUCCUUUUGUUGCCUUACCUACUAUUUCUGUUCCUACUAAAAGGCAAGGUUCGUCGUAUCGUAACAUAUCGCUUGGUACGGGCAAUAUGUACCAAUCCAAUAGGGGACCGAUAUGGGCAGUACAUAUCGAUUUGUUGGUAUGCCCCACCAUACCGUUUGUCGGUACAUUAGUAUGGUUCGGUACAUACCGUACCAAUAACCGAUCGGUACAUCGGUACGGAUCGGUAAGAUAAAACCAUGUUAAAAGGUUUAAGUUAGUUAUUCAUUUGGAAUUAUGAUAUGUCAUAUUUAUUUUAUUAGUUGAGUGACAAUACUUUGACAAGAUACAAGUACCAGGUAAUUUGAAUUUUGAACUUUAUUUUCUUUCUUGUGGACAAAAAGAUCUCAGUUCUGAUAGGGUGUAGUUGACAACACAGCUUCAACAGGUUCCAAUAAUUGCCAUGCCAAGGGACACGUGAUUGUGUGGCACAUGUCAAANNNNNNNNNNNNNNNNNNNNCUCAGUUCUGAUAGGGUGUAGUUGACAACACAGCUUCAACAGGUUCCAAUAAUUGCCAUGCCAAGGGACACGUGAUUGUGUGGCACAUGUCAAAACAUAGCAUACCAAAAAGGUACCAGUAUACACCAUAUCCACUGGUACAAAAGAUGCCGACAUGUAUAUAUAGGUAGACCAAUAAUCUCAACAAUUUUGAAUCUCUUAUACUAACCUUAGUUUAUGUAACUAAAAUGAUCUUAUCACCAUCUGAUAUCUCAUAAACAUAUUUUAAAAUAUAUGGGGGGGAAACCAACUCAAGAUAGAAACUUUUGACAAGAUACAAGUACCAGGUAAUUUGAAUUUUGAACUUUAUUUUCUUUCUUAUGGACAAAAAGAUCUCAGUUCCGAUAGAGUGUAGUUG
rnacentral:lncRNA from 1 species